AGAAGCUUGCUUCUCUGAUGGUUAGCGGCGGACGGGUGAGUAACACGUAGGCAACCUGCCCUCAAGUUUGGGACAACUACCGGAAACGGUAGCUAAUACCGAAUAGUUGUUUYCUUCGCCUGAAGGAAACUGGAAAGACGGAGCAAUCUGUCACUUGGGGAUGGGCCUGCGGCGCAUUAGCUAGUUGGUGGGGUAACGGCUCACCAAGGCGACGAUGCGUAGCCGACCUGAGAGGGUGAUCGGCCACACUGGGACUGAGACACGGCCCAGACUCCUACGGGAGGCAGCAGUAGGGAAUCUUCCGCAAUGGGCGAAAGCCUGACGGAGCAAUGCCGCGUGAGUGAUGAAGGUUUUCGGAUCGUAAAGCUCUGUUGCCAGGGAAGAACGCUUGGGAGAGUAACUGCUCUCAAGGUGACGGUACCUGAGAAGAAAGCCCCGGCUAACUACGUGCCAGCAGCCGCGGUAAUACGUAGGGGGCAAGCGUUGUCCGGGAAUUAUUGGGCGUAAAGCGCGCGCAGGCGGUCAUUUAAGUCUGGUGUUUAAUCCCGGGGCUCA
rnacentral:rRNA from 1 species